rnacentral:lncRNA from 1 species
CAGGCAAAUGAACUAAGCAGAGGAGGAUGAGUAGAUGUGAUCGAGAUAUGAAGAACAAAGGGGGAGAAGGUAUAAGAAUUUAAGGGUAAUCAUUUUUGAAUGAAUUAUUUUGCAGGAAAUCAAGACUUCAAGACUCCUAGUUGUGUCUAAGUCACGGAGUCUGUUUUAGGAGUUUUUGAUAUAAGUUUGAGUUUCAAAUUAUAUUUGGAUUACACGCGAGGAGUUCAAUGUUUUGGUGAUGACAAUUGAACUUCAUUUUUCUGUAAAUUGUAAUUUUUGAGUUUGUGAGAGUUUUGUCACGAAAUUGACAAAGGGAGAGAUUGUUAAGUUGUGUGUGUUGGCAAGUUUCGUGAAGUGAGUCGGAGUCUUGAAGAAUCGGUGCGUGUUGU